rnacentral:rRNA from 1 species
UACGGGGGGAGCAAGCGUUGUUCGGAUUUACUGGGCGUAAAGGGCGCGUAGGCGGUCAGCACAAGUCAGUUGUGAAAUCUCCGGGCUUAACCCGGAAAGGUCAACUGAUACUGUGCGACUAGAGUGCGGAAGGGGCAACUGGAAUUCUUGGUGUAGCGGUGAAAUGCGUAGAUAUCAAGAGGAACACCUGCGGCGAAGGCGGGUUGCUGGGCCGACACUGACGCUGAAGCGCGAAAGCGUGGGGAGCAAACAGG